UAGGUUUUAAAGUAAAAAUAUUAACAAGUGAAAUACGUUUUUCCAACAAUUGUAAAAGAAAUAAGUUUGAGUCGUUCCACGCUUCGUUGUAUAGUAAAUUAGAACUUUAAGCAUUGUCUAUAAAAUAACUUGAUGUAGAUUCAAUUCAUUGUCGUUUAAACUGCCGAUUUUUGAUUGGUCUAGCUGAGAGGGUGACAUUCCAAAAAAUUGUCACCCGCUCAGCCAUGUGAUAGAGUAAAUUAACACCUUCGUAUUAGGCAAU
rnacentral:lncRNA from 1 species